rnacentral:rRNA from 1 species
ACAAGGUCGAAGCGGUAGAGAGAAGCUUGCUUCUCUUGAGAGCGGCGGACGGGUGAGCAAUGCCUAGGAAUCUGCCUGGUAGUGGGGGAUAACGUUCGGAAACGGACGCUAAUACCGCAUACGUCCUACGGGAGAAAGCAGGGGACCUUCGGGCCUUGCGCUAUCAGAUGAGCCUAUGUCGGAUUAGCUAGUUGGUGAGGUAAUGGCUCACCAAGGCGACGAUCCGUAACUGGUCUGAGAGGAUGAUCAGUCACACUGGAACUGAGACACGGUCCAGACUCCUACAGGAGGCAGCAGUGGGGAAUAUUGGACAAUGGGCGAAAGCCUGAUCCAGCCAUGCCGCGUGUGUGAAGAAGGUCUUCGGAUUGUAAAGCACUUUAAGUUGGGAGGAAGGGUUGUAGAUUAAUACUCUGCAAUUUUGACGUUACCGACAGAAUAAGCACCGGCUAACUCUGUGCCAGCAGCCGCGGUAAUACAGAGGGUGCAAGCGUUAAUCGGAAUUACUGGGCGUAAAGCGCGCGUAGGUGGUUUGUUAAGUUGGAUGUGAAAUCCCCGGGCUCAACCUGGGAACUGCAUUCAAAACUGACUGACUAGAGUAUGGUAGAGGGUGGUGGAAUUUCCUGUGUAGCGGUGAAAUGCGUAGAUGUAGGAAGGAACACCAGUGGCGAAGGCGACCACCUGGACUAAUACUGACACUGAGGUGCGAAAGCGUGGGGAGCAAACAGGAUUAGAUACCCUGGUAGUCCACGCCGUAAACGAUGUCAACUAGCCGUUGGAAGCCUUGAGCUUUUAGUGGCGCAGCUAACGCAUUAAGUUGACCGCCUGGGGAGUACGGGCCGCAAGGUUAAAACUCAAAUGAAUUGACGGGGGUCCCGCACAAGCGGUGGAGCAUGUGGUUUAAGUUCGAAGCAUCGCGAAGAACCCUUACCACGCUCUUGACAUCCAAUGAACUUUUCUAGAGAUAGAUUGGAUGCCUUUCGGGGAACAUUGAGACAUGUGA